UACGUAGGGGGCAAGCGUUGUCCUGAAUCAUUGGGCGUAAAGCGCGUGUAGGCGGUUCGAUAAGUCUGCUGUGAAAGUCCAGGGCUCAACCCUGGGAUGCCGGUGGAUACUGUCGGGCUAGAGUACGGAAGAGGCGAGUGGAAUUCCCGGUGUAGCGGUGAAAUGCGCAGAUAUCGGGAGGAACACCAAUUGCGAAGGCAGCUCGCUGGGACGUUACUGACGCUGAGACGCGAAAGCGUGGGGAGCAAACAGG
rnacentral:rRNA from 1 species